CUAAUAUUAAGUGAGACACUUGUGCGUACAUGUGAGACACUUGCACAUACAUGUGAGACACUUGCGUGUACAUGUGAGACACUUGCGUGUACAUGUGAGACACUUGCCCGUACAUGUGAGACACUUGCCCGUACAUGUGAGACACUUGGCGUACAUGUGAGACACUUGCCCGUACAUGUGAGACACUUGCGCGUUCAUGUGAGACACUUGCCCGUACAUGUGAGACACUUGCGCGUUCAUGUGAGAUACUUGCGCGUUCAUGUGAGACACUUGCGCGUACAUGUGAGAUACUUGCGCGUUCAUGUGAGACACUUGCGCGUUCAUGUGAGACACUUGCCCAUACAUGUGAGACACUUGCACGUACAUGUGAGACACUUGCGCGUUCAUGUGAGACACUUGCCCGUACAUGUGAGACACUUGCGCGUUCAUGUGAGACACUUGCGCGUUCAUGUGAAUCACUUGCACGUACAUGUGAGACACUUGCACGUACAUGUGAGACACUUGCGCGUUCAUGUGAGACACUUGCCCGUACAUGUGAGACACUUGCGCGUACAUGUGAAUCACUUGCACGUACAUGUGAGACACUUGCCCGUACAUGUGAGACACUUGCGCGUUCAUGUGAGACACUUGCACGUACAUGUGAGACUGUAUUAAUUGUAUUAAUGUGCUUUCGUGCUACAAUAAGGCGCUCUCGACAUUUGUAAGUAAAAUAAAGCCAUAACAACAAAAUAAAAAUAAAAAUAAAAAAACAGCAAAAAAGAGGAAGAAAAAAACUGCUGGACUGCAAAAUACAGCACAUUAGUUGUUAAACUGAGAUUCUGACUUCCUGUAAUUAUUAUUAAUUCUACAGUGUUUCUUGAGACGAGUAGUGAUCUUCCUUUGUUCAUCAUUCUCUGUUAAUCGACAAGGCAGGCAAAGUUAUUUCUCAGUAUCUCAAAAUGCCCAAAUGUUUGCAUAUUUACUGCACUGGCUGAAAAUAUCUAUCUUUUUUCAUAACUUGUGAAUUUCAUGGCGGUCCAUUUAAUUGAAAACAAUCCAAAUAUAUCUAAUUAUCCCAGUAGUUUGACACUCUUAGUCCUAGUUCUGUCAAAUAGCUCCAGUCACUACCAUUCUCCUAUUAGACACGGGACAUAUAUACGUGGCACUACUGCUCGGUAAGUUUGCUCAAAUGGCUCGCAACCCUCCCCCCUCCCCAUUAUAAGCAUGAGCAUAUUACCGUGCACCAUCUGGUUGUCGUCUUCUUUGUUUCAGAUCACUAAGGCUUUCAAGUCCUGGCUGGUAUGGACCUCACAGCUAAGAGACACUCGUCUUCAUAACUAAGCUACAGGACAGACGUCCCACUGCCACAUCUACAAAAUUACCACUGUUCGCUUUUAAAGACAUUUUUAAGUGUCUUAAUUGUCAUGUAUUUCCAAGCUGAUGGUUCCGGGGGUUAAUGUUUAAGCUCUUGUAUGUUCAAUUAAUUUGGGAGCAAGAACCCCCAUGAGGAACCAUACCACCAAAGAUAAAUUGUGUUCAAUAAACUCAAGUAACUUGCCAAAGUGGUCCUGUCUGAAAUAAUAAAAAAAGUAUGUUUAACAUGCAGACUCAUAAUUUAACACAGCAAAGCCAGUUUUUUUGACAGCAUACAAAACCAAAUAAUUGUUAUACAUUGUAUUUGAAAACAUGCUGAUUGUAAAUCAGUCAAUACAUUAAAUGAAACAAUAUAUUAUUGUUGUUCUGCAAAGUAAUGAAAGCUUACCAGAACAACACUGAAAUGUGUUCCACUGUCCGUCCACUUGCCUGUCUGUGUGUAUUAGAUUAAAUCUUAUCUGAUAUUGACCAUUAUCAUCAACCCCAGUGGUGUCCGGUUGCUGCGCAGGCCUGGGAGACUGAAUGAGCAGAUGCAGAGAGUUGGUGCACUACCAAAGCAUUCUCAACUUUAUUCAGGAAGAUAGGUCAUAUUUAUGAAAACAACAUCAGCCCAGACAUCCAAUCAAAGUAUUCAGGAGUUAUAUGUUACCUUAUAUGGAUAGGAAAGAAAUAUAAUCGUUGAUUAUAAGGUGUUAGUAAGGCGUUAGUAAGAUAUUCAUAUGUAUUUGUCUAGCUAUUUAGGGUAGGUUUCAGUUCCUCCCCAAAACAGCAUCAGGUUAUGCUGAGGCUGUUUUCUACUUUGUGCUUUAUCUCGGUUCUUAGUCUGCUCUGUCGUGUUGGCCCAGAAUAACUAAUCAGCUUUUGUACCCCUGAUAUGUUCUUUCCUACUCAAUCUAAACAUCCUCCUUAGCAUUCAGUCUACUGGCAUCUAUCCACUAUGGUUGAAGGUCAGUCCAUAUUACCUGCUGGUUGGAGACAAACAAAUGAUUUUCUGGGGAGAGAGGAAACAGGGUUUCUACAGACAUGAACAAGUUAAAUUUAAGACUUUUAAGACCUUUUUAAUACCACCUUAUAUGAAAUUUAAGACCUAAACCUGUAAUGGACAUUUUUUUUUUUUACGUACAUAUAUGCAAUAUUUAAAGGGAUACUUUACCCCAAUUGUGGAUUAAUAUAUAACCCAGAUUGCACGUCUGAUGGCAGAUGGAGUAUUCUGACCACGACUUUCAUACCUUCUAUGGACCUUGACACUGUUAUUUACUUGGCGGUCUAUGGGACAGUCUCAAGCCUCCCGGUUUUCAUCCAAAAUAUCAUAAACUGUUUUCCGAAGAUUAACAAAGCUUUUAUGGGUUUGGAACGACAUUUUACGGGUUUGGAACGGGGUAAGUGAUUAAUGACAAAAUUUUCAUUUUGGGGUGGAGUAUCCCUUUAAGGUGUUUAAAUUAACAUCACUGUAAUAAAUGAUAUUUAGUCGAUGAAUGUUAGUCUUUGCACAGGCUAAAGAUGAGUCCAAAACCAACUUGGUUGUCUUGUGGACAUCUGCUAUGCAAUAUAAGGCACUGAUCGCCUGUGCUGUCUUUGCAGCGCUAGUGUAUGACAGGCCAUGAUAAUGACUCACCAGUAGCACAAGUGUCAUUUUUGGCAGGCCUAUUUCCCUUCUGGGUGACUAAAAUUUCCCUGCUUUUCAUGUCCAAAAUUUCAAGUCAGCCUCAGUUAACUAUGUGUGAAAUCACAGUGAUGUCCACAUUUUUAUUUAUUUAUUUAUUUAUUUUUAGCAAUUUCC
ensembl:lncRNA